UGGGGAAUAUUGCACAAUGGGGGGAAACCCUGAUGCAGCGACGCCGCGUGAGUGAAGAAGUAUUUCGGUAUGUAAAGCUCUGUCAGCAGGGAAGAAAAUGACGGUACCUGACCAAGAAGCCCCGGCUAACUACGUGCC
rnacentral:rRNA from 1 species